GAAAUGCGAUAAGUAAUGUGAAUUGCAGAAUUCAGUGAAUCAUCGAAUCUUUGAACGCACAUUGCGCCCGCCAGCACUCUGGCGGGCAUACCUGUUCGAGCGUCAUUUCAACCCUCAGAACCCCUUGCGGGAUCUGGCGUUGGGGAUUGGCAUCCAGCCAGCCCCGAAAUCUAGUGGCGGUCCCUCCGCGACCUCCCCUGUGCAGUAGCGAUACCUCGCAGCGGGACAGCGGUCUGACCACGCCGUAAAACCCCCAACUUCUCAAGGUUGAUCUCGAAUCAGGUAGGAAUACCCGCUGAACUUAAGC
rnacentral:misc_RNA from 1 species